UUUUUUUAACUCUUCAUACUUAAUCCCAAUUUACCCAAAUCGAAGAUAGGGUUCUGGGUGUGAUGAAGGCCAUUUCUCCUCUCUCUCUCUUUGCGACACGGCCACACGGGCCAUCUAUUAUCAGCCUUUCUCUGACUCCGAGUCGCCGGUGACGCCGUGACAAUGGUGACAUUGCUGAUUUGCUGCCUUGCUAGAAAGACCAAGAGUUUGAGAGGACAGGUUGCUGACACAAGGGCAAGAAAUAUUGCUCAAAUAUAGUUUCUGUACAGGUUGCUUUUUCUCUUUCGUUUGUGUUGUAUUGGUCAUGUUUGUUGUAUAUGUGAAUUUGUUACCUUAAAAAGAUUAAUGUUAAAAAUUGUAUGUUGUGAUUUAGUUACAGUGCAAGCACAGAAAAAGACUGCUCCAGACAUGCAAUGCAAGGACAAUGUUAUGGAUUCUGAUGUGUGUGGGUUCUUUAUGUCAGAUGCUAUUCAUUUGGGGGAUUAGGAUUGUGUUUAGUUCAAUGAAGAGGCAGGACAUGUGGUUGAGGAGUGCAAAUUCAGAGUGUUAUAUGUUUCUCCACCUCAGCCCCCUUCUUCAGUCCCAGAAAGGUCGGAGGAAGGGUCUUCACCAAGAGCUUCAAUAGUGGAGAAUGAAAAUCUUAAUGGUGCUGAGUUUUCCAAUGCUGCAAAAGGACUUUUGGAGCAGCUUGAAUCUCUGGAGAGAUCCGCAGAGGUCAAAUAUCUGUUGCUUUGAACCAUAGGAGAGAGGGUGUACUUUUUGAAUUUUAAAGAAACGGAAGCCCAUAAGGAUGACAAGAACCUAACACUCUCCCAAAGCUCAUUAACCCACACUUGCAUCAAUAGAUUCAAAAUCUGAUGAUUUCAAGGGGGACCUUAUUAAGUCAUCAAUUUCAUUAUUUCAAGCAACAAAUUCAGAUGAGGUAUUACUUGCAUAUGAAAUGAAUGGAGAGGUAAAUUAUGAACAGCUUUGCGUUACAUGGUCUUCAAUUAUCAGAUCAUAUUUCUUCUGAUUUUUUUAUGUUAAAGCCUCUAAACAGGGAUCAUGGCUAUCAUAUGCAUACAAUUUUUCCUAAAUGUAACACGUCAAUCAAUUUUUACAGAUGAAGUAAUUGCUGUUCACUUUCAAUUUGAUGGCCUAACAGAUCAUGAACUUGGAUCCUGGAGAACCAGCAACAGCUUAUAAAAAAGAUUUGCAGGGAGAAUUGGAAAACCCAUCUUUAAAAAGCACAUUUUGGCCAAGUUUGUCGUGGUGGUUUUGUUCUAAAAACAAUGAUCCAGGUUUGAAGACUGCUUAUAAACUGGACCCAGAAGAUGGAGCAGUGACGAAAGCUUUUGAAGUGAUAGAGAGAAAUUUGUUUAGCUAGAAGUUGUACUGAGGCUAGAAGUUGGUCUUUUUUGGGUUGGCCUUAAUUGCAGUUCUCCUAUAGAUUUCUGAAUGUAUUUUGCUAUAAGAGUUUCAAAGAUGUGAUCCCUUAUUUUAUGGAUACAAUUAGCAUUAUCGGAUCCAUUUAGAUUGCUAUGGGAUUAUAACAGCUUUCUAUUAUGAUUAAAUUACCAUUCUUUUGGUCA